CAAAGCAAUGAAACUACUUUAGACUCGGAAGUGGGGGAUAAGUGUUAUGGAGAUUAUCCACCAUUUGAAUCGAUCUUGCUCUCUUCGGAUUACAAUCGAGCAUUCAUUGAUGACUCAACAAGAUUAUCUUGAAUGCCAGUGAGAGAUUUAGAAAUCUACAGUAGAGCGACUUUAUAUUAUCAUUUUUUGUCUGACUCCUGGCUCAAACUUUUACUGACCUCAG
rnacentral:lncRNA from 1 species